CCCUGGGGAGAGGAGACACAGAAGCAUGGAUGAUACCAGCUGCUGCACCCAGCUGAGACAACGGAACAGCCCCAAAGGUCGGUCCAAGGUUACGUUUAUCUGGAUCACGUUAACGGCCUGCAGUGUCUCAGUUCGAGGAAUAUCACAUAACCAGCCAACUUGCAUCUAGGAGAAUACGGAUGUAAGAGACCUGGUCUAAGGGUUGCCCCAGGCUUCAAGCUAUGGUUAGGAACAUCCAGCCUAGUUAUAAUAAUUCAUUUGCAAGCAAUGCUUUUUACCAUGUAACGUCUCUUCUCAGCUUCUUGAAUGUAAUUGCAUUAUCUUGGUGACUGACGGCCUGCAUGGAUGGAUGAAAUUGGAAUUUAAUCUGCAUCGGCCAUCUCUCUUGAUUUCUCCUUCAUUUCUAUUUCUUUUUAAAAUGGAAGUUUCAUUAAAACAGCAACACUUUUCUAUUAAAUAUGUAACUAGAGAAGAAUGACUGCCUCUAUCUCAUCAGCAGUAAAUCUUUUUAAAAUCACUCAAGAGGCAAGACUCAAAUCAUAUAUUUAAUAAGAACCACUUUGAUAUCACUUUUUAAAGCAAUUAACAUAUUAUUAGAGAUAAGCAUGAGAUGCAACAUUUAGAUCUGGAUUCCUAAAGCAGAUUUCUAAGGUGUAGGAGGGUACGGCUCUCAAGUCUUGGCCUCACCAAGCAUCUCUGCAUGUCACAGUCUAAGGUAAGAACAGAACCUGUUACAUGGACAUGGCAGAUAAAAUUCCGGCUUUUACUCCUGAUUUUAUUAGCACUGGUUCUCUUCAGUCAUUUUAAAGCCUUCUGGGUAUGCCAGUGAAAAUGGGCAAGCCACCUCACGAGAGUUUGUGUACCAACUGAGGGUCCUGGAACAAACUUCAUUUCCAUCAUCCCCUUCCAGCUGGGUGCUCAGACAUUUGUUUUCUUUAUGGGUUGCACAGUAAACGUAUCUCUGAACCUUACAAAUUUUUAAAAGACUUACAGUGCCUGUCACCAAUGGGAUUCCCAUAAUCAGCUUGUCUUGCAUCUCCCCCGUUACCUCAAGCAAGCUCGCAAACUCAAAUACAACGUCACCUCUGACAGGCAGCAUCAAUCCCAUGGGGAAAGUGAAGACACUCCCUGGCAGGGCAGUCCAACUCACUCCUACCAGAGGCUAUGGUUGCCAUAGCAGAGCCAUGUGGCCCUUCCUAAGUGACUUCAGCUGACAAUUCAGCAUGUUAAAUAUGUUAAAUAGAGCAAAUCCCCCUUUCCUGGUGGCUGAAGCACAUACUGUGAAUUACGGUAGUGAAGGUGCAGCCACACAUUCAUCUCUGCUGACUGUGAUGGGGACAGAAACCUCCGGCAGAUGAACCAGAUGGAAAGCUGGAGGUGGUAACACCUUCCACCAUCACAAUUAAAUCUGACAAAACCCAUCUGCUGGCACCCUCAGCACUGGUAGGACUCAACUUGGAAUUGUGAAUUAUGUCCUAGGCAACAUCCAAAGGCUUCUUGGUUGUUUAUCCAAAACGUUCAAGCUUUUCCCAGCAUCAAACAAUACGUGACUCCACUGAUGUCUGACAGCAAAUUCAUUCUUGACUACAGAGCAUUUUAUUAUUUAUACCGUUAACUGUGAAGUCUCAAAUCCCCCAGAACUUCUCGAGAGCCCACUUCAUCAGCAAAUUGCUUUUCUUAAAAGGCAGCAACAUAUGCAAGGGAAAAUACAUCAUGCAUCUAAAGACACUGUGAUCAUGUUGUUUUUUUAAGUGCUAAAAUUUAUUACACAAGAGAUGAUGCAACAGCGAAUAAGAGAGCAAAAUUCUACAUUGACUCCCUACUUUGCAAUCCAGGACAACUAAGAAGUUUUACUUCAUUAAGGUAGGCAAGAGAAAAAAAAAAUCAGAAACCACCCUGAUGAAUGAGGAAGUCCUGUCAAGCAUAAGUGAACAAUUAGUCCUAUGUGAUGCUCGUUGCUGUAGAAGGAACGAUGAAAUAUAUCUGCUUCUGUUCAAUAAAUUACUAAAACAUCAGUUAUAAA